GAUGAACGCUGGCGGCAUGCCUAAUACAUGCAAGUCGAGCGAACAGACGAGGAGCUUGCUCCUCUGACGUUAGCGGCGGACGGGUGAGUAACACGUGGAUAACCUACCUAUAAGACUGGGAUAACUUCGGGAAACCGGAGCUAAUACCGGAUAAUAUAUUGAACCGCAUGGUUCAAUAGUGAAAGACGGUUUUGCUGUCACUUAUAGAUGGAUCCGCGCCGCAUUAGCUAGUUGGUAAGGUAACGGCUUACCAAGGCAACGAUGCGUAGCCGACCUGAGAGGGUGAUCGGCCACACCGGAACUGAGACACGGUCCAGACUCCUACGGGAGGCAGCAGUAGGGAAUCUUCCGCAAUGGGCGAAAGCUUGACGGAGCAACGCCGCGUGAGUGAUGAAGGUCUUCGGAUCGUAAAACUCUGUUAUUAGGGAAGAACAAAUGUGUAAGUAACUAUGCACGUCUUGACGGUACCUAAUCAGAAAGCCACGGCUAACUACGUG
rnacentral:rRNA from 1 species